rnacentral:rRNA from 1 species
UCCGUAGGGUGCAAGCGUUAAUCGGAAUUACUGGGCGUAAAGCGUGCGCAGGCGGCUUUGCAAGACAGAUGUGAAAUCCCCGGGCUUAACCUGGGAACUGCAUUUAUGACUGCAUGGCUGGAGUGCGGCAGAGGGGGAUGGAAUUCCGCGUGUAGCAGUGAAAUGCGUAGAUAUGCGGAGGAACACCGAUGGCGAAGGCAAUCCCCUGGGCCUGCACUGACGCUCAUGCACGAAAGCGUGGGGAGCAAACAGG